rnacentral:rRNA from 1 species
UACAGAGGGGGCAAGCGUUGUUCGGAAUUACUGGGCGUAAAGGGCGCGUAGGCGGCCGCCUAAGUCAGACGUGAAAUCCCUCGGCUCAACCGGGGAACUGCGUCUGAUACUGGGAGGCUUGAAUCCGGGAGAGGAAUGUGGAAUUCCAGGUGUAGCGGUGAAAUGCGUAGAUAUCUGGAGGAACACCGGUGGCGAAGGCGGCAUCCUGGACCGAAACUGACGCUGAGGAGCGAAAGCCAGGGGAGCAAACGGG